GGGACAACCCGCCGAAAGGCGGGCUAAACCCGCGUACAUGCCACCGGGGCAUCCCGGAGGCAGGAAAGGCUUCGGCCGGACAGGGAUGGGCAUGCGGCGCAUUAGGCAGUAGGCGGGGUAACGGCCCACCUAACCGACAAUGCGUAGGGGUUCUGAGAGGAAGGUCCCCCACACUGGUACUGAGACACGGACCAGACUCCUACGGGAGGCAGCAGUGAGGAAUAUUGGUCAAUGGUCGGGAGACUGAACCAGCCAAGCCGCGUGAGGGAGGAAGGUACAGAGUAUCGUAAACCUCUUUUGUCAGGGAACAAAGACUGGGACGCGUUCCCGGAUGAGUGUACCUGAAGAAAAAGCAUCGGCUAACUCCGUGCCAGCAGCCGCGGUAAUACGGAGGAUGCGAGCGUUAUCCGGAUUUAUUGGGUUUAAAGGGUGCGCAGGCGGUCUGUUAAGUCAGCGGUCAAAGCCCGGGGCUCAACCCCGGCCCGCCGUUGAAACUGGCAGUCUCGAGUUGGAGAGAAGUAUGCGGAAUGCGCGGUGUAGCGGUGAAAUGCAUAGAUAUCGCGCAGAACUCCGAUUGCGAAGGCAGCAUGCCGGCUCCACACUGACGCUGAGGCACGAAAGCGUGGGUAUCGAACAGGAUUAGAUACCCUGGUAGUCCACGCAGUAAACGAUGAAUGAUGGCUGUCCG
rnacentral:rRNA from 1 species